CGCCUGUUUAACAAAAACAUGUCUUUUUGAUUAUAAUUUAAAGUCUAACCUGCCCAAUGAGUAGUUAAAUGGCCGCGGUAACCUGACCGUGCAAAGGUAGCAUAAUCAUUAGUUUUUUAAUUGAAAGCUGGUAUGAAUGGUUGGACGAGGGAGUGGCUGUCUCGGUUUGAUUUUAUUAGAACUUUAUUGUUAAGUAAGAAAGCUUAAAUGAAUUUAAAAGACGAGAAGACCCUAUAGAGUUUUAUAUAAGUUAUGGUAGGUUUUUUAUAGUAUGUAUACAUAUAUUUACUAUAGCUUGUAUUUUGUUGGGGUGACAGAAAAAUUGAAGGAACUUUUUUUAUAGUGUACCAUUAAUUUAUGAAUCAAUGAUCCGUUAGUAGGGCGAUUAUAAGAUUAAAUUACCUUAGGGAUAACAGCGUAAUUUUUUCUGAGAGUUCUAAUCGAAGAAAGGGGUUGCGACCUCGAUGUUGGAUUAAAAUUUACUUUUGGUGCAGAAGCUAGAAGGUUAGGUCUGUUCGACCUUUAAAAUUUUACAUGAUCUGAGUUCAAACCGGAG
rnacentral:rRNA from 1 species